CCCGUUCCUCACGCCGCCUCCACGCCUCCAACAGAAGAACCCUAAGCUGCCCUCGCUCCGACGCCGCCACCUCGUCGUCCGACCGCAUCGAUUCGAUGGCCCGCAUCUCCGCCGUCGUUGCCGCCGUGAUCACCGCCGCCGUUGUCGUUGACGCGCUGUUCACAGCCGCCUCCGCCACCGAGGCACCGGCCCCCGCCCCGAUGUCCGGCGCGGGCGCCCUCUCAGCGCAGCUCUCCGUCGGCUGCCUCGCGGCGCUCCUCGCCGCUUUCCUCCGCCACUGAGCGGUGAGGCCGCCCCGUCUGCGUGCGCGUCUUCAGAUCUAGUGGUACAGUGGUAGUGAGAGUUGCAGUCUAAUGUUAGUCGCAGGUAUCGUAGCGGUGGUGAUAGUGUUAUGAAGAUGAGGCAUUUGGUUUUGUUCCACGUGGUGGGUGGAUGGAUGAAUCUGGGCGUUUGGAGAGUUUUUUCAUUUUGAUGCUGGAUUUGAUUUAGUAUGAUUGGUGUUAGUUUAUUACUAUUAUUAUUUAUUAUGUGCGUUUCUGUACCUACUGCUCACCGGCUACGAGGGAUUAUUAUUAUGGAUUUAUGAUGUUUUAUGU